rnacentral:rRNA from 1 species
GCCGGAAUUGCUAGUAAUGGCAGGUCAGCAUACUGCCGUGAAUACGUUCCCGGGCCUUGUACACACCGCCCGUCACACCAUGAGAGUUGGGAAUACCCGAAGCCUGUGAGCUAACUAUAUGAGGCAGCAGUCGAAGGUAGAAUCAAUGAUUGGGGUGAAGUCGUAACAAGGUAGC